UACGUAGGGUGCAAGCGUUGUCCGGAAUUAUUGGGCGUAAAGAGCUCGUAGGCGGUCUGUCGCGUCGGCUGUGAAAACCCGGAGCUCAACUCCGGGCCUGCAGUCGAUACGGGCAGACUGGAGUUCGGCAGGGGAGACUGGAAUUCCUGGUGUAGCGGUGAAAUGCGCAGAUAUCAGGAGGAACACCGGUGGCGAAGGCGGGUCUCUGGGCCGAUACUGGCGCUGAGGAGCGAAAGCGUGGGGAGCGAACAGG
rnacentral:rRNA from 1 species